GGCUCGGGACCGACCCGGAGUUGGCCGCGGCCUACCGCGCCGCCCACGAGCGCUACCUCGAGGCGCGCGCUGCGAUCGCUUCCGAGGCGGGUCUC
rnacentral:tRNA from 1 species